rnacentral:rRNA from 1 species
UUCCGGAGAGGGAGCAUGAGAAAUGGCUACCACUUCCAAGGAAGGCAGCAGGCGCGUAAAUUACCCAAUCCUAAAACAGGGAGGUAGUGACGAUAAAUAACAAUGAUUCAAUGAUAACAAAGUUGAAUUAAUUGGAAUGAGAACAAUAUAAAUCCCUUAUCGAGUAACAAUUUCAGGGCAAGUUCUGGGUGCCAGCAGCCGCGGUAAUUCCAGCUGAAAAAGCGUAUACGAAUAUUGUUGCAGUUAAAACGCUCGUAGUUGGAAUAAAACAUGGUUUUCUAUUUUUUUAUUUUAAACGGUAAAAAGUAUAGAAUAUCAUUUUUUAAUUUUAUAUAUAAAAGUAAUUUUAUAUAUAUAAUUACUUUGAUAAAUUAGUAGUGCUUUUAAGCUAGAUUAAAAAAUAAUUUGUAUAUUUUUUUUGUACGUUUUAGU